CUGCUACUUCAUCUACACCCUAUAAAGAGAAGAUGUAAAUACAGAGUGGAAAUGGAACAUGGCAAGAGACAUGAUUGGCAGACAGGGAGUCAGAAUGUUGGAGAGUGGCUUCUGGGAAGGGACCAACUGUCAAAGGAGGUUCGGUUCUGAACCUUGGGGGAGAGGGGGGUGUGAACAGCUUUUCUGAGUUCUGGAGAAUGAAUCUCAUCAGUUUUCCCAGGAGUGUCUCCAAUUGAUUUCAAUGCCCUUGCUGUCUAUAAACAGUUCUGGUUUCCAAGUUUUCAGGACUUGACUGUCAAGAGUGUGACUGACAAGACAUUUCAGCUUAACUCAAGAGGGAUUUGUUCCCUGGAAGGCAGGCUGUGUGUCAGUCCUGAAGAUAAAGCAGCUCCCUCUGUAGCAACCUCUAAGACUCAAGCCUCUAUUAGCCAUUAGUUUAAGAUAGUAUAGAAAGAAGAGAAAUGGAAGAAUUGAUUUCCAGACUGGUCCUGGCUGGUUGCCAAAGUCGGGGGAACUCAAGUCCAGUCUGGACAUUCAGCACCCAGUCCUUAGCAGAAAUUGAUCCUCUACAACCAGCAGAGGUGCCAAGUGUUACCAGGGCCAGAGAAUUGCAAGGGGGAACCUCAGCAUAAUUCAGUGCUUUUCCAGCUUCUCUCCAGCCAGGAAACAGGGAAAAGUGACAGAGAAAUAAAUACAGACAUCAGGGACACUUCUAAGAACCAUCAGAUAAGGGAAGUCUCAAAGAUUUGGAGGAUAAGACACAGGGAUUCAAGAAUUAGAACACUGACUGAGUUUUGCAGCCUGUGCAAACACCAAUACCCUGAGGAACAAGAUAUGGUCUUCAUGAGUGGCCUUUGGGACCCCAGCCAGUGGAAGAAUGUUUCUGGCAAUCAUGCCAUAUCUGGAUAUUAAUUUUUUGGUGCCAGUGCCAUGUAGGAACUGAUUUAAAUCUUGAGUCUAUUCCCUGAGAGGAGGUGAUAUAGGGGAGAGCAUGCCCCAGCUGUGUUGAAGAGAGGAUACAGUGUUUGUACAUUUUUUAUAUGAGGAUACAAUUUUAAUAAUCAUCUUCUGACAUUUUGCAAACCAUGUUCUCUACCCCCCCCCAAAGACAGCAGGUAAAUUGAUACAGGUUUUACAUGUUUUAUCAUGUAAUACAUACUUCCAUGUUCAUCACAUAAAACAAUACAUCACUCACACUAAAGAAAAAUUCAUGAAAGAAAUGAAGUGAAGAAGAGCAUGCUUUAAUUUGCAUUUAGACUCUGUCUUUUUUGCCUUUUUUGGCAUGAGUCCCUUAGAGUUGUUCUGGACCCUUCUAUUGCUGAUAAUAGUUAUGUUUACAUGUUGGUUCUUGUGUCUUUGAAGUAAAUAUCCCACUCUAAAAGUUAAGUGGAAUUGGGAUGCUAGACUAAUAGUGGGGAGAACACAGCCAGUGAAAGGCUGAGCUCAAUGGUAGAGAAAAGACACCUCAUAAACCCUUCAGCCACCCUGAGACCCUGAGGGGAAAUGUUGUCUGUCUGGCUCUGGGAGAAAAAGCCAGAAUAUAUACACUAUACUUGUAUCCUCAUAGCCUAGCACAGUGCUUAACAGAUAGUGGAUGUUUAAUAAGUGCUUAUCGAGUUGAAUUCCACUCUUUAAAUGUCCCAGGUAAUUCCACCUCUCUCAGCCAGCACCACUAUGGAAUCGCUUACAAUACAUUUUACCUGAUUACACAUCUCCCUGAGGCUUUUCUAAGUACAUUAGUACUAUCAUGUGUCUGUUGACAGAAAGAAGAAUGGGAUCUUCACAUCACAGACAGGUGAAAGAGACCUUGGAAGUCAUCGAGUUCAAUUUCCUCAUUUUACAGAUGUAGAAACUGAGGCCCCAAAAGUUUGAGUGACUUGCCAAAGGUCACAAGACUAAUAUAUGGCAGAGUUUGUAUUUGAACUUGGGUCAUCUGGCUCCCUACCAUCUACCAUCAACUCUUCACUGACUACUUUGCCACCCUGGAAAAACUUGUACCUUGGAGUCUCAUCCUGAUUGGUUAGUACCUCUCCUCAACUACCAUUUCAGGAAAACCCCAGCUACCAUUCCUCAUUUCAAUAUUUAUUCUGGUAACUUUGGGGACCAAAGUGCUCUUCCUUGCUUACCACUCUCCUAUGUAUAUUGUGUUAUAUCCCCUUUAGAACAUAAGCUCCAUGAGGGAAAGGACUUCCUUUGCUUCUGUAUUUUUUAUUUGUAUUCCUUAGCCCUUACCAUAGUACUUGGUACACUGUGAGCAUUUAAUAAAUGUUUUGUUUCUUUAUUCA
rnacentral:lncRNA from 1 species